rnacentral:tRNA from 1 species
GCUCAGUUGGUUGAGCGUCCAACUCUUGAUUACGGCUCAGGUCAUGAUUCCAGGGUUGUGGGAUCAAGCCCCGCAUUGGGCU